CUAGCAUAUCAAUAAGCGGAGGAAAAGAAACCAACAGGGAUUGCCUUAGUAACGGCGAGUGAAGCGGCAACAGCUCAAAUUUGAAAUCUGGCCUUUGGUCCGAGUUGUAAUUUGCAGAGGAUGCUUCGGGCGCGGUGCCUUCCAAGUCCCCUGGAACGGGGCGCCGGAGAGGGUGAGAGCCCCGUACGGUUGGCGGCCAAGCCUGUGUGAAGCUCCUUCGACGAGUCGAGUAGUUUGGGAAUGCUGCUCUAAGCGGGAGGUAGACCCCUUCUAAAGCUAAAUACCGGCCAGAGACCGAUAGCGCACAAGUAGAGUGAUCGAAAGAUGAAAAGCACUUUGAAAAGAGGGUUAAACAGCACGUGAAAUUGUUGAAAGGGAAGCGCUUGUGACCAGACGUGCGCCGGGGUGUUCAGCGGGCGUUCUCGCCCGUGCACUCGCCCCGGUGCAGGCCAGCGUCGGUUUGGAUGGGGGGAUAAAGGCGUCUGGAAUGUGGCUCCUCCGGGAGUGUUAUAGCCAGGCGUGCCAUGCCUCCGUCCGGACCGAGGUACGCGUUCUGCAAGGACGCUGGCGUAAUGGUCUCCAGCGACCCGUCUUGAAACACGGACCAAGGAGUCGAGGUUUUGCGCGAGUGUUUGGGUGAAAAACCCGCACGCGUAAUGAAAGUGAACGUAGGUGAGAGCUUCGGCGCAUCACCGACCGAUCCUGAUGUUUUCGGAUGGAUUUGAGUAAGAGCGUAGGGCCUCGGACCCGAAAGAUGGUGAACUAUGCUUGGAUAGGGUGAAGCCAGAGGAAACUCUGGUGGAGGCUCGCAGCGGUUCUGACGUGCAAAUCGAUCGUCAAAUCUGAGCAUGGGGGCGAAAGACUAAUCGAACCAUCUAGUAGCUGGUUACCGCCGAA
rnacentral:rRNA from 1 species